CGUGUGACGUGUGUGCUAAUGCCGAGUUAUUUAUUAGUUUCGGGGGUGCCAAGUGUUGGCCAAACUCAUUAGACUGGGCUCCAAUAUCGCGGGGAGUGCUGUGCUGAUCGAGCGUCACGCGAUUUUAUUAACGCACUUAGGCGAUCCCAACUGAUCCAGAGACGUGAGCGAUUUCGCUAAUUUCGAGAAAGUCGUCGCGCGACGAUAAAACUUAUCGAACAGCUCGCUGUAAAUAAUUAAGUAAGCGUAUUAAUUGGUCUGAAAUGAAGCAGUGAAUCAGUGAAACAGCGAAACAUUUGCAUAUUUCUAAAGAAAUUCCAUCUGAGCGAAUGCGAAUAACAUCAAUACCAGUGGACUGGUCUGGGUGGGGGAAUGGCGCAAUAUUUGCUCAUUGCAAAAUCAAUUAACGGUUUCAGGCAAAUUGAUAUUAACGAGUUCUCGAAAUAACAACUCAAAUAAAACCCCAGCGCGCUAUAUGGACAUGCCAAACUGGAAAAUCACGAGACGGGUCGGGACGGGACAUCAAAAUCAGAGCCUGGAGGGAGUCGCCGAGUCACGCAGGUCCGUCGCCGCCAUAGGCAAAUACACAUGCGAGGAAAUAACAUAAUGGAAACGAAAACAAACGGCGUUAAUAAUAGCUAAAAUGCUUUUAAUUAAGUGCAAAUGCCAGAUUAACGAUUACAAGAAAAACACGUUCCAUUAAAGCCAACGCAAACACACUCGGAUAAUGACACAUGGCCAGAUUUGACACGAAAUUGGCUCCAGCUCCGGGGAUGGAAUGGAAGUGUGAGUUUUGCAUUCGAGCGAAUCGAACCGCAGUCCGGGGAAUCGUGACAAGAUGAUGCUAAUCCGAUAGCAAUCGGACUCGCUCCCCGGAUCGUGUUCGCUCCGCUUGCAUCGACAGAUACCGACCCGGACAGCUCUUUUAACUGGAAUAUCGGGUUAGAAAAUAACGCUCGAAGAUAGGUGACGAUUAGUUGGAAAUGUACAAAUACAUAUAAUAAAUCAGCUGAUCAGAACUUGGACUUCCACCAAAAUGAUACGCUAUUUUACAUGCACUACCAGUGCGGUUCUCAUUGGUCGUAAAUUGAUGUACUAUAUCUUUCCUCUAACAAAACAUACUGACUGGAAAAAUAUACCUCGUUUCGAAGGCUACAAAAAGCAGCCAUAAAAUAGCUUGACAUGAAAUUUCUAGGAUUUCUAGUGUACUAAAUUUAUGUGCUGGCAUCGAGAAUACCUAUAAAUCAUGCUAUAAUAGCUGUCUUCGAUAAAUUGAAAUCAUUAAAAGCGGAUUAUCAGCUCGCGAUGGGAAAGUUUGUGAAACGGAGCGCGAGAACUCGGGUCUCAAAAUCCACGAGCUGCGUUCGAGCUAUCUGGAUCAUGUGCUUGGACUUCAAAUACUUAGCUACUACCUAAGCUACCUGGGCACCAUCUGGACGGACGCCUUUGUCCAGUCAAUCAGCAAUCGAUUCAGCGGAGCUGCCGCGUUCCUUAAUUACCAAAAUCCGGCACUGUGGAGCGUUACGCAUUCGUACUCGCCGGACCCAUCCGAAUGAAAGAAAUCUUAAUUAACGCAUAAACAAUUAACGCGUAUCUCAUUAUGUUCUGUUUCGGCAAUCUAUCUAACUUCUGUCCGUCUCUGCUCGUCUUUUUUAGCCAUUAAGGUGGCUCAGUUCUUCAGUGUAUCAUCGUUAUUGUUAUUUUUUGGGUCGGCGAACCACCACCAUUCAUAAAUGAUUAACGUGGCCGAAGUGCAAUUAACAUUGCAAACUGGGCCCAGUCACGAGGCGGCAGGGGAUGAGGGGAAGAAGACCUGCACCCGGACCUCCUCACAGAUACUUUUCACAUUUCCCGCUUUAUCGGCCGAUAAUCAAAAACAACGCAACAAAAACUGAGACUUCAGGGGGCCAUAAAAGCCAUAUAAUACUCGUAAUAAUAAUAAUAAUAAUACUUGUGCCCACAUGGUCCGCUGUCUGCGCGAGAGCGCUUAAUUUUAUUUCGUUUCCCAUUUUUUUACUGCUCGAAUUUGGCCAUAUAAACAUUUUUGUGACGCGCGGUAAUUACGCUGAAAAACUCAUUUGACGGGUCGCCCAUUCAGUCGCCGUGUAAUAAAUCUCUCGAUGUGUAUAAUUUGGUCGUAGAUACAAGCGAUAGCUGGGUGCACUUUUUGGUGUUUACACAAAGAGAAAAAAGCGGGGAGUGUUGUACGGAUGUUUGGAAGUUCAAACUAAGCAAUGUUCAAAGUAUAAUUUAUGUGUAAAAUCAAUUUAAGCCUAAGCAUAAGUAUUAGUUUAUCAAAGAAAGCAAAGCACAAGUAUGUGAAGUAUCUACUAACUUGGGCAUAGUCGUAUAAGAAUAAGAGUGGUAGAUUUAAUAGUGUUAAUUAUCACCAAAUAUUAGUUUUUUGCCGUGUAUCUCUGGCACAACAGGCGACUGAGCAAUGAAGAUGGCAUGGACUCGGGCAUGGGGAGGAGUGUCUAGGAUGUGGAUUGGAUCGGUGCGUCUCAGUUGGGAUCUGCUGGUUUCCAGGCCUCUAAGCUGCCCGCAGGCAGUCGGAAAAGGGAGAGGGCCGGCCAUUAAGUGGAAUGCCUGGCCUGCAAUCAUUACUCAUCCGAGGCUCUAGGGUUUCCUCGCCUUCGACUAUUGUCAAUGGCAAAACAAUGAACAGGCGGCCGGCAAACAAAUGCAGCGCAAUUAGCGGGGGGCAAACGGCAGAUAGCAUACAGCAGAUACAGCCGAGAUACAGAUAUGGCACAGCCAUCAGAUACAGAAACAGACACAGAUGCAAACUAUGUGUAUGUAUACAUGUGAGAAAGUAUCUCUAAGUAUAUGCCACAAUUUAUGGCUUCCUACACAGGCACAGUGUGGCCCCAAAAAAAGCAAAUAUGUAUAUGACAAGUCAUAAAUGCCUCAACCUCAUGGACGCAGUUACAGCAAAAGCAACAGCAACACAAGCAGAUACAAAUACGAAUACGAAUACAGAUACUUUUGUUGUUGCGCAGGCCAUAAAAAGACACAAAAAUCGACUGACACAUCGCUCAAUAAACAUAAAUUAUAAUUUAUUUAACUUUUGCACUUUGUUUCAUUUAAUUCUCAAUGCUCGUUUCCAAUUCGAAUGGGAUUCGUUUGUUUAUUAUUUGUCUGCUUUGGUUUCGUCGGACUCAUUUUAUUCGGCGGAAAUUCAAUGAAAAAUUCAAGGAAAAGCAUUUUCAGCGCGCUGGCUCAUUAAAAGACGCGCCACGCACAACUAUUUGAAAUAUUUUAAUUAUUUUCCACUCGCACACACACGGGCCGUGUGUAUUUGCGAUUUCGUGGGCGUAGCAGGUUAUUUCGAAUUAUUUUUAAAGCGAUUUUAAUUGCCUCGCCUGAGACCAAUUGACGUCUGUUUUGGGGAACUGCUGCAACUUGCCCCAUCAUCUGAGCCCGGAUGAUUGUGAAAAGCACUUCACCGCGGUGUUGAGUUCAGUCCGCCUCGCUUGAAUUAUGAGCCCUGGAAAUCCACAUUUGAAACAUGAGCCCCGUGAGUGCUGAUAGUGUGGCACAAAUAGCAGGGGGGGUGGGUGGUGAAUAGCUGGGCCGAAGGCCGCGCAACAAUGACAAAUACGUGAGGUGAUAUUUCAUGCCACCAUUUCCAUGGAGGGAAGUGUGUUCCCGGGCGAAGUCCCUUCCCUUGAUCACAGUUACAAACCCCCAUGCCAGCAAAACGCACUCGAGUUUAUUCAAGUUGCUCAAAUUAAUAUUCAAUUAAUUUGCAUUUUUAUUGUGUUCGGUUCAGUUGUUCUUUGGGUUUUUCUUACGCAUGCAGCCCAGUAUUAUUAUAAUUCCUUUAUAUCCAUAAUAUGCUACAAAUUUAUUCCGCUCUACAGCUUUACAUCGCUAUAUUAUAUAUUUAUAAGUUGCUUUUUUUCGGUUUUCCAUUCGUUCGGGUAUGGAUCUAAAUAAUUUACAUGAAAGUUGUUUGGCUCAAUCGGAACUGAAACGUUAAUAUCGUCCAUUAGAGGCUAUGAUGUGAGUUGUUUGGGUGCCUACAACAUAUCAUAAUUAAUGCAAAUGUUCAGCUGUGUUGUGCAAAAAGUGGCUAGUCAUCCCGUUGGAGUAUGUAGUUGGAUUUCGUACAUUAUUCAAAGUACGAUGCGCAAUAAUUAUGAAUAAAACUACUAUCACAUUGAAACACACAUAUGUAUGAUACCUGCCGGGAAACAAUAAUAGUCGCUCAUUGUUAUUAAAUAUCUACACACGCAAGGCGAAAACUGAGGCAACUUAAGUCCGAUCAUAAUGCCACGAAAUUGUGCUCUAACUUAACAAAUUUGCCUGGCUUGGAGAGUCGAUGUCUUGGCAGUUUGGGCAGAUUAUAUCCUAUGCUAACCAUAUACUUUGCGGCGGCCAAAAGAAGCGGAUGUAAUGGGGACUUCCAGUGAAUUGAGUGGCAAGUAGUUGUGUUCACAGCAGAGUAAAUAUACAUAGAGCUACAUAUGUGUGAAAACUGUUGUCCCUUCACAUUCAUAAGUAAUCGGAUUUUGCAGCUACGGCUAUAGCCAUCCCCACCAAAUAUCGGAUGGAUUGCAUAUUUAUUACGGUACAUAUUUAAUUUGCUGAUGGCCUAGAUAGUGGUUACGCUGCGGCACAGGCGAAUAUGGUAAGGUAUGCUAUAUAGAUCUUUGUAUCAAUUUGUUUAGCUGGCUAAUUUCGCUUACUCGCUCGCUUUUGUUUUUGUUUCGGAUUUCGAUUUCGAUUGGUUUGUUGUAAGUCACAAUACGGUUGGCUAAUGCAAGUUUAUGUACUUAGUGUAGUUAAAUAUAUAAUGGUAUUCGUACGUGUGUGCUGGCAGCUCGUUCCCCAUUUAUUUGGGUCCGUUCGUGUCUCGUCUGGAGACCCAGUUUCGAGUGGAGUGGAGUGGAGUGAAGUGGAGUUUAACUACCCAGACACGUCGAAUGGCUUCUUCCCCCGAACCACUUCCCCCCUGUAUUUACAAUCUCAAUCUGAGCCGACUCACGAGGCUUACCAUCUAAUUCAUAGCUUCAACUGCUACAUUGUCUUUCGAGUUGGUUUACCUAAUAGUUUUCCUUAUGUACCGCUCCUCCCGCCCUGCACUUCCAAUGGAAAUCAAGGCGGAACAGUGCGUUUCGAAAUGAAAUGAGAAGAAAACGAAUAGUUUAAUUACAGGGUAUACCAAGUUGGUAUCGGCGGGCUGGCCGAUGGCUGCUGUAGGGGCGUUUUACUUGGAGCUCGCAGCAAUGGCCGGCCAGUAAAGCGGCCCUACAGCCUUGAAACGCACUGUACCGAGGUGGCGCUGCACUUAGGCAGCUCUAAGCGUUAAUGCUUUUAAUUGUUUUCUGUGUGUGUAAGUGCUUUUGAGUUGUUUAUCUUUAGAUAUUUUGCGCUAGCUAACUAGUUUUACACGUUGUCAUGUUUGCUUGUCGCUUGGCCAAGUCUAAAGUUUGUAGUUCAAGUUGGCUUUCGUGUUCCAUAGGCUUAAUGCCGCUUGAAAGCCAUUUGACCUUCCUCUCUGUUGCCAACUGCCAACUGCCUACUCCCCCUCCCCCUGCUCUCUUGGCCAGUUCGAAGGCGGCCAAGUGAUUUGGCUGCGGCUCGCAAUGACUUUUUUAGCUACUUCUGGGCCAGCCAAAAGCUUUCACAAUUGCGCUAAAAUGGAGGUUUAGGCGGGAUUAUGUGAGCCACAAUAUGGAAUUAGAAAUCAAUGACAAAUCGCUUUUGACAUCAUCCAGUCCGCUGACUCAGCGCAAUUCAGCCAAAGUCUAGCAACUAAGCGGGGAUGGAAAGAUUCGAAAUUCCCAUUUUGUGAGCUUAAUUAUUUAUAGUUUGGUAAGCUGUUUUUGGGGCUUGGCAUUUGCAUAUUUCCGCGCACAACAAUUCGUAUAAUUUCGUAUUUAGCUUGUAGUCCGCGGGGGGAAGUGGCGAGAGCGGGUCAAUUAAGUGCCAUUAAUUUGCCUUUUUAAUUAAUAAUUUAUUUUUUAAUUUAUUUAAAGCCGCUGCUCAAAUCCCGCCGUCUAUCUCACUCCGCGCUGCGCAUUCAUGCAUAUAAAUAAUGCUAAUUAGUUACAGCUACCGCCUGACAAUUUAAUACAUACGUAUAUGUUUGCAUUCGUUUUUAUCUGAUCUGUUAUAUUUUUAAUUAAAGCUUAUUAAUACUGUCGCUGGCGGACCUCCCCAACUCCCUUCCUUCCUUUCCAUCAUCAUUUGGCAUAAAUAGGUAUGUAUGCAUAUACAUAUAUUUACUUUUACACUUAAAUUAUGACUGUAGCUAUCAGCGCGCUGGGAAACAGGCAUGAUAAUUACCGAAAGCCUAGAAAAUAUUUAAAUGACUUUUUUCUGUAUUUCCCUCCUCUUUCUGCUUGUGCCCGCUAAAAAUGUUUUAAUUAUGUCAGAAAUGAUGUAGCGCGCUUGCCAGCAGAUUGAGUUUGACCCAAAAAAGCGAGCAAAACGACAAGGUAUAAAAACGCGAUGACGACAAAACCGGUUGCCCGGCUCUGAAAUCGGAGUCCGCGGGGUCUCCGAAGCAUCUGAUGCCUGAAGUCUGGGAGUGGAGUGGACUGGAGUGCAGUGGAGUGGAGUGGUGUGGAGUCUCCUCCAUUCUAUCAGCUUUAUGACCAGCCUCAACGCGAGUGUCCUCCGCCUUUUCCCAUUUUUUUUUGCUUCUUUUGUGGCUGCCACUUAGCCCCCUGCCACGCCCACCAGCGCCCCCGCCCACGAACCAGACAAUGUUUGGUUAGACAGCUUCCGACGCUGUGUUUCUGCCCCGAAUUAUUUUAUAUUUAUUUUCGGCGCUUGACAACCGUCGACGCCGCUUCCACUUGGUUUUGGGUUACUCUUUUUAUGCCCGGCGUGGACUUCGCUUGAUGCGCUUUGCGUCAUUUCGGUUCGAGCAGCUUGGUUACUUUUGUGUGGCAGUGGCAGUACGAGUGGAAUUUAAAAAUAAACCACUCUUGCAACUGGGUGAUUCUGUUUUUCAUGCCUUUUAUUUGCAUUUGUUUUUCCUCCGCCGCUUCGGUUUAUGUAUAACUCGGCUUUUUGUUUGCACUGCCGGCCAUUAUUGGGUUUAUUUAUCCGUUGAUGACUUUUAAAUGGCAGCUGUUUCCCGCUCGACGGCAAACAAAAAAAAAACACUUCUACAUAAAGUCAAUUAGAGGAGAAAACCUUUUAGUUGACCUAUCCCGCUCCAAAAGGCCUGCAUUCGGUCGGACUAAGCGGCUAAUCGAAUAUGGACAUCGGAACUCGCGUUUCGCAGCGCCGAGUCAAUUGAGUCACCUGCUAACUCCUAAGUGGAAUUCAUUCGAAUUGUUUUCUAAGUUCUAAUUAAAUCUUUAUGUGGGAAUCGCUGAUAAGGAAAUCGAGGCUCCCGACUAUAACAAUCCAUUUGCGAGUUAAAGUGGCCCUACGUAAUUAUAGUAUGCAAUGGCAAUUAAGUAUGCCCCUAUUACUAAUCUGUACUGAAAUUGUACCCAUGUGCAACAUGGACGUAGUCCGAAUUUGUUGAAAAACUAACUGGAAAAUCUAGGCGGGUACCACAAUCCCUGCAGUAAGAUAAUCCACAAAAAAACACAAAACUAACAGCCCUCGAAGUUACCACUUGAUCACUGAGCUCAUUUUCAGGCCAGGGGAAAUGUGUCGAGUAACGAAAGCACUCAAGUUUGGCACUCGAGGGACCGGCCAUUAUCUGCGAUGCCCACACAUGGAACCGUAAUCAAAUCAGAUGCGAGUGUGAAUCCAAAGUGCAGCUUAGUAAUGCCAGACGAGACGAGACGAUCCGAGCUGAGCGGCACCUGCCUAACGCGGCAACGGGGCGGAUGAGUGACGACAAUGGCGAUGACCUCGCAUUCGAAUUGGGGCGGUGGGGCCGGGGGUUAGAGGGGCCAUCACUCACCCAGGCGCAUGCAAAUGGCCCCAGCAGCUGAUAGUUGAUUGCUCAAACGAAAUGAAAACAAACAACCGACGCUGUCAGCUGGAGCUGGAUGGGAUCUCUAGUAUAUUUUAAUUACACUUGUGUGAAUGCCGCCGGCAGCAAUUGAAAUAUUUUUCCGUCUCUAAUCUACGACCAAUUUAAUAUGAAUUGAAUAAGUGAAUAGAUGGAUCCCGCGGAGAGUGCGGCACCAUUCAGGAAGCAGUGCCUUGUUUAGAUUGGGCGUGCAGGCGGGACUACUUUCUAUGGAAAGUGGCCAGUGGAGAGUGAUUUCUAAGGUUUCUUGCCACAGAUGCUAUGCUCUUGAAUGGGCUUCCACGAAGGAUGGAGAAAUACAAAUGUGCUCAGAAUCAGAUUCAUUUAUAAAUGUGUUUAAGGUUACUAAGCAAUUCACAGCAGAUGAAUAAAAGUGGCGCUCCCCUAUAUGUUUUUCCCAAGGAAAUGGCUCGUAUGUUGAGUAAGUUAUGGAUUCAUAUGUGGUCUGGCCAUUUCUUCGACUAUCCAAACUGGUCCCACAAAUUCCUGCAAUGGUUCCGUCGUUCUCCAAUUGGACCUGACGUCUUUCCUUGCUGAAUCUCGAGUGGAUUGCGACCGCAUGGUCGUGGAGUAGAGUCGAACUUGUUUGGAUGUAGGGCAGCCUAAAGCGGCCAGAUGAGUCAGUGCCGGUUCCCCGGCAGCGGAUGUCGUUCGUUUCAGUUGAAAACUCUUUUUUUGGCUUAAUUAAUUCGACGAUUGGCUUAAUGGCGCGCUGAAUCCUCAGCGGGUUUUCCUGCCCAUGCAUAAAUUAAUCAGCUAUUUGCUUCCCGGAACCCAGCAAUUCCCAUGGAACCGCGCCAAUCGCCUCGCCGUGCAAUCAAUAAUGAAAGCACACACUUUCCCGAGGGACCUUGGGGCCGAGCUAAAACAAUUUCAGCUGAUAACAUCUCGCGUUUCCUGGCCACUCGAAACCAUUAGAUUUUGCUGCGUUUUCAACUAGCAACAAAGACUAAAUGUGGAGCCUAAGCAUUGAAUUGUGCGGAAAGUAGGGGAAAUUCAAGCAGAGCCACAGGCAAAGGCAGUUUCAUUAUACUGCUGUAACGAAUAAACUUCGAGAAUGCUGGUCUUUGAAAGUAAGUACAGUGAGGCGCUGGUGGCGUGAACAAGAACGUAUUUGAACUUCUAAUCGGAAACAAAGGCAAACAAGCGAAAUAAACAGACGUCGUGGAACACAUAUAUGUACAUAAGGUGGAGAUGAACAUCUUUCGAUAUCAUAGUGUGUCAAAUAUUUGUUAUUUGAUCUAAGUAUAAGAUUUUAAGAGUGAAAUUUCAAGCCAUAUAUCCGAGACCUGCAUGUUUUCGAAAUUCGUCUCAGCUCAACGGUUCGCCAUUAGCGAGGGACCCCUGUGCGCCGAGGUCACCCCAACCCGCUGCCCGGUCCUCCAUCAAUGACAAUAAUCAAUCACGGCUCACCGCAGCGGAGGAGACCAUGGGGCGGAGCAGAAUGAGGGAACGAAGGGAGCGAAGAUGAAAAUCGAAUCAAGGCGAACAGAAAGAGGAGUCGGUGCGGUGGUGGGAAGUGUGAAAAGUUGGCCACAAAAGCCGACGGCAAGGGGAGUUUUCCUCGCCGCGGCCAAAUCACUUGAACUAUGCUUUUCUCGCUCGCUACGUUAAUUGAAAACACAAUUUACUUAAUUUUUGCAUAUCUCGCUUCAAAUUACGUUGCAUAAUUUUGAAUAAUUUUUAUUCGUAUUUUUGUGUUGCUUUUUUCUGCUUUACUCUUCUCUCUCCAUCGUUCGGUAAUAAUUUUGCUUUCAUAUUUUCGUAUUCUUUCGGUAAAUGGUUGUUGUAACAUUUUGUUGAUUUGUAAUUAAAUAUGCGUAUGUGUAACUUUUAGCAAUUGUUUGGUUGGAUGUUGCUGCCGUUGUUGUUGCAGUUGUUGUUGUUGCAGUUGUUAUUGUUUAUGUUGUUGG
rnacentral:sRNA from 1 species